AAGCACAAUCCGCUGCGGUCAACCGCACU
rnacentral:sRNA from 1 species